UUUUGGGAAAUGGCUACGAGGGGAAGCAGAUCGGAGAAGGUGAAGAGGAUUUUUCAGCAAUUUGAUGGUAAUCAUGAUGGGGGUCUUAAUCGAGAGGAAAUGGCAGCUUUGGUGGUUGCUGUAAACCCUAGGGUUAAGUUUAGCGAAGAGCAAAUUAAUGCUAUUCUCGAUGAGGUUUUCCGUACGUACAGCGAGUUUAUUGAUGGUGAAAAGGGGCUUACUUAUGAGGGACUUUUGCGUACGUAUGAUGAUGGUGCUGGUGAUGUUGAUCGUGAUUUUGACGCUCUUGGGCUUGAGCUUAAGCCGGAGGAUAAUGCUGGAACUUCAAUUGCUGCGGAGGAGGCUUCUUCGUCGUCGAUUGCGGAUGAGAGAGUGAUGGAGCCUCAUAAGAAACAGCGGACUGCAGCUUGGGCAGCUUCUCCGAAUCAUGGCAUUGUGUUUGAUGAUACUUGGAAGCUUGUAGAUGACCUUGAGAUAUUGAUCAAGAGGCUUAAAUCGAAACAAUCGAAAGAUGGGAAGCUGAAGAAUGAUAAUUCUGAUGUUUAUUCGGAAGGUUGGUCUAGGGAAUUAGGGCCUUCGACGGAG
rnacentral:misc_RNA from 1 species